GUCUGAGCACUGAAUCAUCCCCAGUGAUUCUGUGAAAUACAACAAGGCAUCAACCUUUUUGAGCAAACUUGCCUCACUAUGGUGGUGAAGAGGUGAGAGAGACAAAGGGAUAGAGCUGUUUUGUGUAGGUA